rnacentral:sRNA from 1 species
ACUCCAAACGGCCUACGAUCUUGGUGUAUCCGACGGGUAAGGACACAAAGGACAUCAUUUCUAAUACUAAUUCUCGGCUGAAUUACACUGAAGCUGAAUUCUACUUUAUUAUCAGAGAUACAGGGCUCACAUCAUGUUACGCCGGAGAGCAUAAUCAUACCCAUCGUGUCCUGCAUUCUGGGGUUUCCGUUACUGGCGUUAAUGGUAAUUUGCUGCCUACGGAGGAGAGCGAAGCUCGCUCGUGAACGGGCCCGACGAAGGAACUGUGAUUUGGAUCAUGGCGCAUUGAGCCUCGUUCGUUUCAGUCCGGUUCAUCGCCUAGGUGAGCCCACCGAGUUUAAAAGUGAAACUGGGACACGCGCGCGCACGAGGAACAGAUAUUCGCCGCGUGAAUAGAAACACCGAAUGGAAAUUAAAUCGCCCGUGCAGAAUUAAAUCCGUGCCGGAUACAAACACCCCAAAUCAACUGCAAGAAAAUUAUUAAAUAAGUUUAUGACACAUUUUCCGAUACACGUAAAACUUUAGUUUUUUAAUUUACUAAUAUUAAUUACAUUCUUUAAUUUACUAAUACUAAUUAAUUAAAUUCUAUAUUUAUAGAAAUAAUUUAAAUUAAAUUAAUAAUUUAAUUUAAAUUAUUUCCAUAAAUAUACCAUAUAUCUAAUACAUUUAAAUAAAAUUGAAAUAUAAAAUAUUUAUAUUGCUGUUCGCUAGCUUUAUAAAAUAAGUGUAGUACGACUCAUUAAUAUUUUUAACGACAUGACGUUUAUUUGAAAAGGCGCUACAAAUUUAUCACAUUUAUAGAGGAAACGAGAAAUGAAAUGCAACAGCGUUUGCUCCAAUUUUUUCCCCGUUCUAAUAGUGGCUACGUUGUUUUUUAUCUCCUCUUUCUCUUUUCCCUCUAUGCAUUUUUCCUUGACUCUCUGACUGACUGAGUACACGCACACGCAGGUAUGCUCCCUCGCGGCGGCAUAUAAAUGCGCUCGAUAUAGAGGUAAUGCGCGACCAUUGGCACAAACAUAAAGAGGGUAAAAGAGGCUCUACAGCAGAUUGAAUUCCAGUUUCAACAUUCGAAUUCAUGCACUGACGGAUAUUUUUAGCUGGAAACUAUGGUGGACGCGCAUAGCCGAUUAUUUCUAUUCGAAAGCAAAUACUCGAAAAAUUCCCAGUUAAAUCCUCGUCUCGCUCUUUUUAGCAGGAAAUAGUCCAGGCAUUAUAUAAAGUGUCAAAAAAAAAAAAAACAAUGUAUGAAAUAUCGUUCUAGACUUGCGCUUAAGUUUAUCGGAUUAUUUAUUAAUCUCGAAAUGAAGUUUGCAAAACAAUCCUCAAAGUAGCAAAGGUUGUGGGAAUCACCGAGCUAGAUAAAUUUUUUUUACAGCAGAAAGAAAUAAAUUUCUUUUCAUCCGAAAAAAACCCGGAUAUCGCACGCGGGUAUCGCAACAAAACGGAUCUAUCGCAUCGUGAUAUCAAAAAUUGGAUCUUACGUCGUUCAUUGAUAAUCCAUUUCCGCACGUACAAAGCGAUGCAUAAAAUACGGCGCUCCGGAGCGCCAUUUCUCUCGUGCGACAUCUUAUCCGGAUGCGAUUUCACGUAUUAUAUGUACAUGUGCACUUCCGCGCGAUCGAGGGAGUGAGCAUCCGAGGGGAUGACCGCGUUAUCAUCUCUCCGCCCGCUUUCAUAUCUAAAAUUCACAUUACGUCGAAAAGUUUUUAUUAUCUGGCAUCCAGUUUUUUUUUUUUUUUUUUUUUUGGUCGUCGGGGAAACGACAACGCGGCAGCAAAUAUACGGCAAUAAACGUCGUUUUCGCAUAAAGCAGUAUUAGCAUUUACAUCGCUAAUGCACUCCAACAUCCUCCAUUUACAUAUUGUUUGCAGAAGUAUCGGUAAACAAUCGCGUGGCACGACAAACUAAUUUGUUCGCGUUAUCAUCACUCAAAAUCGCCUGCAUAUACGCAGGUGUGUAAAAUUAAUAAUAACACGUGUAUUAUACAAGCAGUUUAAUUCAGAAUUGUGAUGAGCAGUGUGAUGAGUGCACCGAUUUCAAAGGGCCUGGUCGCAAAGAGAAGGACAUUAAAUUCUUCUCGUUAAUUAAUGCAGAUAUCAUUUUAAUUAACGGACAAUAUAUCUAAUAAAUAAAUGCAUAAUUAACGAAAUUACCUGAACAUAUAACAUACGUAUUUCAUCAUUAAAUAUCACCCAAACUCGUAACUUACAAUUAAUGAAAGCAUAAUAUGACGAAAAUUGUUUAUGUACACGAAAAUAACGGAUCUACCGAAAUGCAUAAAAAUUUAACGAGAUAUGCAAAUAAUUUUGUUGUCUUUUGACAUCGAAAUAAUUGUGCAGAACACUCAAGCAUAACGACCCAUGCAAAAAGUAUUGACGUUCCAGUAAGCGGCUUAAGCGUCCUACGUAAUUAUUUUGACGGUGCAUUCAGCAAAAGUUAUUUUUAGAUCUAGUUUUAGCUAAAUUUUUUUUAUACUUUAGCAAAACCGUUCCUUCCAUGUAAUAUAUGUCUCUUCAUAACUCUUCAUAACUUUUAUUAUAUAAUCUAAUGUAAAUUUACUUUUCUUAAUUUACCUGCAUUUUUAGAAUUUCUUAAUAUAAUUUAAAAUUGCAGAUAAUAAUAUAUUCCUGCUACUAUUAGAAAAGAAUUUUUAAUAAUACAUAAAAAUAGAGAUAAAACAACGUUAAAAAUAUAGGUUAAAUUCUUCACUAAAUUCUCGAUAAGACUUUCUUAAUAUACGCGUUGAUUUAAAAGGCAAUUUCUCUGUGUGUAUCAGCAAAAAAAA